rnacentral:rRNA from 1 species
CCCCUACGGGGGGCAGCAGUGGGGAAUAUUGCACAAUGGGGGGAAACCCUGAUGCAGCGACGCCGCGUGAGUGAAGAAGUAUUUCGGUAUGUGAAGCUCUAUCAGCAGGGAAGAAAAUGACGGUACCUGAUUAAGAAGCCUCGGCUAACUACGUGCCAGCAGCCGUGGUAAUACGUAGGGGGCAAGCGUUAUCCGGAUUUACUGGGUGUAAAGGGAGCGUAGACGGCAGCACAAGUCUGGAGUGAAAUGCCGGGGCUUAACCCCGGAACUGCUUUGGAGACUGUGCAGCUAGAGUGCAGGAGAGG